rnacentral:rRNA from 1 species
GACGAACGCUGGCGGCGUGCUUAACACAUGCAAGUCGAACGGGUCUGCCCUGUUUUUUGCGGGGUGGGUCAGUGGCGAACGGGUGAGUAACACGUGAGUAACCUGCCCCUCACUUCUGGAUAACCGCUUGAAAGGGUGGCUAAUACGGGGUGUUCUGGCUGUGCCGCAUGGUGUGGCUGGGAAAGAUUCACUUUUGUGGUGUUUUGGUGGGGGAUGGGCUCGCGGCCUAUCAGCUUGUUGGUGGGGUGAUGGCCUGCCAAGGCUUUGACGGGUAGCCGGCCUGGGAGGGUGGGCGGUCACACUGGGACUGAGAUACGGCCCAGACUCCUGCGGGAGGCAGCAGUGGGGGGUAUUGCACAAUGGGCGGAAGCCUGAUGCAGCGACGUCGCGUGAGGGAUGGAGGCCUUCGGGUUGUGAACCUCUUUCGCCGGUGAAGAAGGUCCUGCUCUUUGUGGUGGGGUUGACGGUAGCCGGGUUAUGAAGCGCCGGCUAACUACG